rnacentral:rRNA from 1 species
GAACGGCCUCUAGUGCAGAUCUUGGUGGUAGUAGCAAAUAUUCAAGUGAGAACUUUGAAGACUGAAGUGGGGAAAGGUUCCAUGUGAACAGCAGUUGUACAUGGGUGAGUCGGUCCUAAGGCGUGCAGAGGGUGGUUUGUAGGCACCGCGGCGUCGAAAGGGAAGCAGGUUAAUAUGUCCUGCACAAGGGUAGGUGUGCUAAAAGGUGGCGACACGUGGAGUGUCUGGAGACGUCUGCGGGUACCCCGGGAAGAGUUGUCUUUUCUAUUUGACAGAGAGAGUGUUGUGCGGAGUCGAGUUGUUGGGCGAUGCAGAGCAUGUCUUUGGCAUAGCCUCGUCUGUAUGUGGCGAGGUCCGGUGUGUAUUCGACGGUCCGUGAAAAUCCAGGCGCUAGAAGUGAAGGUAAGGUCCUCCGUUGCCGUACUGAUAACCGCAACAGGUCUCCAAGGUGAAAAGCCUCUAGUUGAUAGAAGAAUGUAGAUAAGGGAAGUCGGCAAGAUAGAUCCGUAACUUUGGGAAAAGGAUUGGCUCUGAGGGUUGGGCGUCUGGUGCA